UGGCGAACGGGUGAGUAAUACAUCGGAACGUACCCAGAAGUGGGGGAUAACGUAGCGAAAGUUACGCUAAUACCGCAUACGUUCUACGGAAGAAAGUGGGGGAUCUUCGGGCCUCAUGCUUUUGGAGCGGCCGAUGUCUGAUUAGCUAGUUGGUGAGGUAAAGGCUCACCAAGGCGACGAUCAGUAGCUGGUCUGAGAGGACGACCAGCCACACUGGGACUGAGACACGGCCCAGACUCCUACGGGAGGCAGCAGUGGGGAAUUUUGGACAAUGGGCGCAAGCCUGAUCCAGCAAUGCCGCGUGAGUGAAGAAGGCCUUCGGGUUGUAAAGCUCUUUUGUCAGGGAAGAAACGGUUCGGGCUAAUAUCCUGGGCUAAUGACGGUACCUGAAGAAUAAGCACCGGCUAACUACGUGCCAGCAGCCGCGGUAAUACGUAGGGUGCAAGCGUUAAUCGGAAUUACUGGGCGUAAAGCGUGCGCAGGCGGUUUUGUAAGUCUGACGUGAAAGCCCCGGGCUUAACCUGGGAAUUGCGUUGGAGACUGCAAGGCUUGAAUCUGGCAGAGGGGGGUAGAAUUCCACGUGUAGCAGUGAAAUGCGUAGAGAUGUGGAGGAACACCGAUGGCGAAGGCAGCCCCCUGGG
rnacentral:rRNA from 1 species